UGGGGAAUAUUGGACAAUGGGCGAAAGCCUGAUCCAGCCAUGCCGCGUGUGUGAAGAAGGUCUUCGGAUUGUAAAGCACUUUAAGUUGGGAGGAAGGGCAGUAAGCGAAUACCUUGCUGUUUUGACGUUACCGACAGAAUAAGCACCGGCUAACUCUGUGCCAGCAGCCGCGGUAAUACAGAGGGUGCAAGCGUUAAUCGGAAUUACUGGGCGUAAAGCGCGCGUAGGUGGUUCGUUAAGUUGAAUGUGAAAGCCCCGGGCUCAACCUGGGAACUGCAUCCAAAUCUGGCGAGCUAGAGUAGGGCAGAGGGUGGUGGAAUUUCCUGUGUAGCGGUGAAAUGCGUAGAUAUAGGAAGGAACACCAGUGGCGAAGGCGACCACCUGGGCUCAUACUGACACUGAGGUGCGAAAGCGUGGGGAGCAAACAGG
rnacentral:rRNA from 1 species